GCCAGUGUAGCUUACACAAAAGUAUAACACUGAAGAUGUUAAGACGAGCCCUAAUAAGACUCCACAGGCA
rnacentral:tRNA from 1 species